rnacentral:rRNA from 1 species
UGUUCCUACGGGAGGCAGCAGUGAGGAAUAUUGGUCAAUGGGCGAGAGCCUGAACCAGCCAAGUCGCGUGAAGGAUGACGGCCCUAUGGGUUGUAAACUUCUUUUGUCAGGGAGCAAUUGGGUCCACGUGUGGGCUUAGCGAGAGUACCUGAAGAAAAAGCAUCGGCUAACUCCGUGCCAGCAGCCGCGGUAAUACGGAGGAUGCGAGCGUUAUCCGGAUUUAUUGGGUUUAAAGGGUGCGUAGGCGGGACCUUAAGUCAGCGGUAAAAUUGCGGUGCUCAACGCCGUAGAGCCGUUGAAAAUGG